CGGCCAGACAAGUCGUUGGGAAAUCCACGCGCUCAACGCGUGGGCGUNCAGCGGAAACUGUCUGGCUUGGGGCCGGAAGACUCGAGGGGUACGUCUGGGGUAGGAGUGAAAUCCUGUAAUCCUGGACGGACCGCCGGUAGCGAAAGCGCCUCGAGAGGACGGACCCGACGGUGAGGGACGAAAGCCAAGGUCUCGAACCG
rnacentral:rRNA from 1 species